AAAUAAAGAAUGAAGAUGAAGAGAAAAAUGAAAGAAAUCGUAACAACCAUAAAACAAAACACAUCAUUGUAUAAGAAAAUAAGCAGCUACACAUCAGCAUGGUAUGUGGAUUGAAGUCUUGAGGAGGAACUUUAUGGGGACGAAUACAAUAUAAUUCCUUAAGGCCAUCACUACAGAAAGACCAAACUAGUUUAAAGGAAAUCUGGUACCUAAGAACACAAAUAAACGUAUACUAAAAUUCCCUGCAACUACCAAUUUAAUAGUUGCUGUUACAAGACAUUUAUUAUAGCAAAUUGGCCAGCAACAUAAUCAGUGGACACAAAAUCGACCGGACUAAACCUGGCAGGAAUAUACAUUUAUGCUGGACAAACCAAGGUGCCUCUGUCACUAUUGCUAAGGUUUAAUUUCUAAUUUAUAAGUAUCAGUUUCAACUAAUAUUAAUUCCAUAUAUUUUAAUUUACAUUUUUACAGACUCUUUUACGUAUAAAAAAUAUACGACAAAGCAAAGGCCGAAAAGGAAAAUUUAAUAAAUACCCACAAAAUUAUAAUGUUUAAAGGAAUCCCUGGAGGGAUCAUACAAUACGGGCCGCUUUAAAAUAAUUUUGGCUCAUUACAACAGCGUACGAUACGCAAAAAUUGAUUUAUUCAGAAAAGUUGGGCUCAACUAUUGUUUGUAUUAUUUUGUGAUUAAAGACAUCAACCCAUAAAAUGGAGAACAAAUCCCAAAACUCAAAAAAACAAA
rnacentral:lncRNA from 1 species